GCGGGCGUGGCGAAACUGGUAGACGCAGCAGACUUAAAAUCUGCCGGGCGUAAGCCCUUGCCGGUUCGAUCCCGGCCGCCCGCACCA
rnacentral:tRNA from 1 species